rnacentral:rRNA from 1 species
GAUGAACGCUGGCGGCGUGCUUAACACAUGCAAGUCGAACGAAGCAUUCUAACGGAACAUUUUCGGAUGGGAAGCUAAAAUGACUGAGUGGCGGACGGGUGAGUAACGCGUGGAUAACCUACCAUAUACAGGGGGACAACAGUUGGAAACGACUGAUAAUAACGCAUAAGCGCACAGUGCCGCAUGGCACGGUGUGAAAAACUCCGGUGGUAUAUGAUGGAUCCGCGUCUGAUUAGCUAGUUGGUGAGGUAAUGGCCAACCAAGGCAACGAUCAGUAGCCGACCUGAGAGGGUGACCGGCCACAUUGGGACUGAGACACGGCCCAAACUCCUACGGGAGGCAGCAGUGGGGAAUAUUGCACAAUGGGCGAAAGCCUGAUGCAGCGACGCCGCGUGAGCGAAGAAGUAUUUCGGUAUGUAAAGCUCUAUCAGCAGGGAAGAAAAUGACGGUACCUGACUAAGAAGCCCCGGCUAACUACGUGCCAGCCGCCGCCGUAA